rnacentral:lncRNA from 1 species
UCUAAUGCCUUCAAAUUUACCAAUUUUUGUGAAACCAUCUGUUAGUAUUUGCAGUUUUACCUGGUAACCAUUCCUGUCAAGCCUAAUGUACGUGCAGGUUCAACACCUGAAACAACACAAGAGCCUCUGUCAGAGCUGACAGCAGUGCCCACACCGAUGCUCUGCUUAGGAAAUGAGGGUGGGUUGCCGCAGUUUCCACUCCUGAGUAAUUGCCAGGACACCUUUGAGACUCACAUUCUCUUGAAGCUAUGAUACUUCAGCAAAGCACUUGAGGUAAGGAGCAUGGCAAGCCAUAAGGGUUGAGCACUUGGCAGGGACAGACCUUUUUGGAUUAAACAGCUAUUAAGCAACGGUUUUGUGAAGAGGCUUCUCCAGGAACUGCCCCAACUUAGGCUCAGCUGCCUAAGUUUAAGCUGCCUUUCCUCAUCCUCUCUGGGCCUGCAGUUUUUCAGUCAUAGCUACAGUGCCAGAAAGCUCCAGCAGGAGCACGGCUCUGCCUCCUUGCCCACAGUCAACAAGCAGCUGGAGGCAGAAGACAACAAAUUUGCACCCCUCAGAUUCAUUGUUUUUUGGAGAAGAUGGCAAAAGGGAGGAGUGGGCACACACCUUCCAUCACAGGGAGGCAGCUUGAGAUCAGGGCAGAAAGCCAGGCUGCCAGAAAACCUGGUUCAGUUCUGUCUUUGGCCUACGCACACUUGGUCCCACCAUGGCCUAACAGCUUUUCCAAACAGUAGGAUUGUGGGGAUUUACCUCUUGAUUUCAGGGAAGAGAGGAGUAAACUAAAAUCAUCAUCUACCAUUUCUUUCACGUGUAAAAUGAGUGCAUCAUCCUGCCCCAUGCCAUCCACCCAUGGAGCAGCAGUCCACCAGGCCGCAGCCAUUCCUCACCAGGGCACAGGGCCACGCUGCCGGGCUGAGCGGGGCAGGGAGUGGAGAGGCCCUGCCCUUAGCACAAGGCAGGAACACCACAUGCUACUGUCAGCCCCCUGCACAUCCUGGUGUGCUGCCCACCUUCUGGGAGUAAAGAACUUCAGUCUUUGACAAAGUUGGGAUUGAAGAGAAAAGGCUCAUUCUCCUUCAGAGCUCGUUUAUCCUGCU